rnacentral:rRNA from 1 species
AACGCGAAGAACCUUACCAAGGCUUGACAUACACCAGAUCGCAGCAGAGAUGUUGUUUCCUUUUGGUUGGUGUACAGGUGGUGCAUGGUUGUCGUCAGCUCGUGUCGUGAGAUGUUGGGUUAAGUCCCGCAACGAGCGCAACCCUCGUUCCAUGUUGCCAGCACGUAAUGGUGGGGACUCAUGGGAGACUGCCGGGGUCAACUCGGGGGAAAGUGAGGACGACGUCAAAUCAUCAUGCCCCUUAUGUCUUGGGCUUCACGCAUGCUACAAUGGCCGGUACAGAGGGUUGCGAAACCGUGAGGUGGAGCUAAUCCCAAAAAACCGGUCUCAGUUCGGAUUGGGGUCUGCAACUCGACCCCGUGAAGUCGGAGUCGCUAGUAAUCGCAGAUCAGCAACGCUGCGGUGAAUACGUUCCCGGGCCUUGUACACACCGA